GAUGAACGCUGGCGGCGUGCCUAAUACAUGCAAGUCGAGCGAGCAGAUGAGGAGCUUGCUCCUCUGACGUUAGCGGCGGACGGGUGAGUAACACGUGGAUAACCUACCUAUAAGACUGGGAUAACUUCGGGAAACCGGAGCUAAUACCGGAUAAUAUAUUGAACCGCAUGGUUCAAUAGUGAAAGACGGUUUUGCUGUCACUUAUAGAUGGAUCCGCGCCGCAUUCGCUAGUUGGUAAGGUAACGGCUUACCAAGGCAACGAUGCGUAGCCGACCUGAGAGGGUGAUCGGCCACACUGGAACUGAGACACGGUCCAGACUCCUACGGGAGGCAGCAGUAGGGAAUCUUCCGCAAAGGGCGAAAGCCUGACGGAGCAACGCCGCGUGAGUGAUGAAGGUCUUCGGAUCGUAAAACUCUGUUAUUAGGGAAGAACAAAUGUGUAAGUAACUAUGCACGUCUUGACGGUACCUAAUCAGAAAGCCACGGCUAACUACGUG
rnacentral:rRNA from 1 species